rnacentral:rRNA from 1 species
CGGCCGCGUCGACCGCAUUAAGCGCCCCGCCUGGGGAGUACGGCCGCAAGGCUAAAACUCAAAGGAAUUGACGGGGGCCCGCACAAGCGGCGGAGCAUGCGGAUUAAUUCGAUGCAACGCGAAGAACCUUACCAAGGCUUGACAUAUACCGGAAACAUCCAGAGAUGGGUGCCCCUUUUAGGUCGGUAUACAGGUGGUGCAUGGUUGUCGUCAGCUCGUGUCGUGAGAUGUUGGGUUAAGUCCCGCAACGAGCGCAACCCUCGUUCUAUGUUGCCAGCACGUUAUGGUGGGGACUCAUGGAAGACUGCCGGGGUCAACUCGGAGGAAGGUGGGGAUGACGUCAAAUCAUCAUGCCCCUUAUGUCUUGGGCUUCACGCAUGCUACAAUGGCCGGUACAAAGGGCUGCGAAACCGUAGGUGGAGCGAAUCCCAAAAAACCGGUCUCAGUUCGGAUUGGGGUCUGCAACUCGACCCCAUGAAGUCGGAGUCGCUAGUAAUCGCAGAUCAGCAACGCUGCGGUGAAUACCGUUCCGGGCCUUGUACACCG